GACGAACGCUGGCGGCGUGCUUAACACAUGCAAGUCGAACGGAAAGGCCCUGCUUUUGUGGGGUGCUCGAGUGGCUAACGGGUGCGUAACACGUGAGUAACCUGCCCUUGACUUUGGGAUAACUUCAGGAAACUGGGGCUAAUACCGGAUAGGAGCUCCUGCUGCAUGGUGGGGGUUGGAAAGUUUCGGCGGUUGGGGAUGGACUCGCGGCUUAUCAGCUUGUUGGUGGGGUAGUGGCUUACCAAGGCUUUGACGGGUAGCCGGCCUGAGAGGGUGACCGGCCACAUUGGGACUGAGAUACGGCCCAGACUCCUACGGGAGGCAGCAGUGGGGAAUAUUGCACAAUGGGCGGAAGCCUGAUGCAGCAACGCCGCGUGCGGGAUGACGGCCUUCGGGUUGUAAACCGCUUUCGCCUGUGACGAAGCGUGAGUGACGGUAAUGGGUAAAGAAGCACCGGCUAACUACGUG
rnacentral:rRNA from 1 species